rnacentral:rRNA from 1 species
UAGAAGAGAUUAUGCUAAAAUUAGUAAUAAGAGGGCCCGGGCCCUCUCCCGGCACACGUGUAAGUCAAACCGGACCAACCAAUGACGAAUAACGGACCCAAAAUAGAGGGAAAAACAAUAAAAAAUACAAACAAGAAAAACUUGUAAACAUAACCGUUAACCCAACACAGGAGUGCCUAAAGGAAAGACUAAAAGGAGAAGAAGGAACUCGGCAAACACAAACCUCGCCUGUUUACCAAAAACAUCGCCUCUUGCUAACAAAAUGUAUUAGAGGUCCCGCCUGCCCUGUGACCACAAAGUUUAACGGCCGCGGUAUCCUGACCGUGCGAAGGUAGCGUAAUCACUUGUCUUUUAAAUGAAGACCUGUAUGAAUGGCAUAACGAGGGUUUAACUGUCUCCUUCCCCCAGUCAAUGAAAUUGAUCUGCCCGUGCAGAAGCGGACAUAAAAACAUAAGACGAGAAGACCCUAUGGAGCUUUAGGCCAAGGAACAAGCAUGUUAAUAGACUAUACAAAACCAAAGAGACAAAAAAGUCACAAUAAACCAAAUGUAAAAUGAACCAAGUGCCUUCGGUUGGGGCGACCACGGGGAAAAGACAAACCCCCACAUGGAAUGGAGAUAACCCUCCUAAACUAAGAAGUACACUUCUAAGUAACAGAAUUUCUGACCAAAAAUGACCCAGGAUAAUGUAUCCUGAUCAAUGAACCAAGUUACCCUAGGGAUAACAGCGCAAUCCUUUCCCAGAGCCCAUAUCGACGAAAGGGUUUACGACCUCGAUGUUGGAUCAGGACAUCCUAAUGGUGCAGCCGCUAUUAAGGGUUCGUUUGUUCAACGAUUAACAGUCCUACGUGAUCUGAGUUCAGACCGGAGUAAUCCAGGUCGGUUUCUAUCUAUGAAAUUACUUCUUCCCAGUACGAAAGGACCGGAAAAAGAGGGCCUAUACUAAAAGCAAGCCCCACCCCCACCUUCUGAAAACAAAUAAAAAAA